CCUACGGGUGGCAGCAGUGAGGAAUAUUGGUCAAUGGACGCAAGUCUGAACCAGCCAUGCCGCGUGAGGGAAGACGGUCCUAUGGAUUGUAAACCUCUUUUGUCGGGGAGCAAAAGACGCCACGCGUGGCGUUCCGAGAGUACCCGAAGAAAAAGCAUCGGCUAACUCCGUGCCAGCAGCCGCGGUAAUACGGAGGAUGCGAGCGUUAUCCGGAUUUAUUGGGUUUAAAGGGUGCGCAGGCGGAAGAUCAAGGCAGCGGUAAAAGUGAGAGGCUCAACCUCUUCGAGCCGUUGAAACUGGUUUUCUUGAGUGAGCGAGAAGUAUGCGGAAUGCGUGGUGUAGCGGUGAAAUGCAUAGAUAUCACGCAGAACUCCGAUUGCGAAGGCAGCAUACCGGCGCUCAACUGACGCUCAUGCACGAAAGUGUGGGUAUCGAACAGGAUUAGAUGCCCUUGUAGUC
rnacentral:rRNA from 1 species